ACUUGGUGGAAUGUAAGUGAAAAGUUAUAAACCUUAGGAUUUUAUUAUCCUAAUAGUGAAAUAAUUAAAACCUUAAAUAUAAUUCUAGGUAGAUAAUUGAUAAUGACAAAUUUCUAUCUAAAUGUCUUGACCAAAUCUUGUGCCAGCAGUCGCGGUAAUACAAGGAAGACAAGUGUUAUUCAUCUUUAAUCGGUUUAUAGGGUACCUAGACGGUAAAUUAGGCCAUCUAUAGAAAAAAAAGGCACGUUUUACUAGAGUUAUAUAUGCGAGAGGUUAGUAUUAACAGAGUAGAGAUGAAAUUUUGUGAUACUGUUAAGACUGGUAAAGGCAAAAGCAAACCUUUAUAUAUUAACUGACGUUGAGGGACGAAGGCUUGGGGAGCAAACAGGAUUAGAUACCCUAAUAGUCCAGGCAGAAAAUUAUGAAUGUCAUAGAUUAUGUAAUAGAUUCUAUAAAUGAAAGUGUAAGCAUUCCACCUCAAGAGUAAUGUGGCAACGCAGGAACUGAAAUCAUUAGGCCGUUUCUGAUACCAGUAGUGAAGUAUGUUAUUUAAUUUGAUGACCCACAAAUAAUCUUACCACAAUUUGAAUAUAUUAAUAAUAUAAUUUAUUAUUUAUUUAAUAAUACAAGUGUUGCAUUGUUGUCUUCAGUUAAUGUUGUGAGAUUUGGUUAGAUUCAUUAAAUUAACGUAAUCCCUUAUUUUAUUUAUAUAUUAAUAAAGUAGUUCACCGCUAUAUUGGAUUUUGAUAACAGGGAGUAAGACAAGUCGUAAUGACCUUAAUAUUGUGGGCUAUA
rnacentral:rRNA from 1 species